UCCGGCGUCUUGUCUUCCGUUUGAUCUUUGCUCGCAGUAUUUUUUGACGGCGAGUCGAACAAUUUGUAUGCCGCGCUGCUUUUCAAUUUACAUUUAAAUUGGUUGCUUAUGGCGUUCUGUCGUCUCGACAGGAGUCGAAGUGCAGCCGGGAGCGCAACACGGCGAGGGUACGCGCCUCGGGAGCGGAGGGACAAAGAGAGGGGGUGGGACAGAGAGAGGAUGCAUCGCGUAACUCCGCGUGUAAGGGGGACGACGGACAGGGAGGAGGGAGGAGAGAGAGGAGGAAGCAGGUGGAGAAGGGACGUCCUCUUGGUCGAACAGUCAAAUACUGAAACGGCCUCGAGAGGAGAAACGCCGAGUACCGCGCUGAGCAGCCGAGUUCAUCGCACCGUGGCGACGAACAGCUCCGCGUUUUUGCGCGCGCCACGUGAACGCGUGUGCACAGUGGAGACGUAUCAAGCUCGUGGGGAAACGUUUUCGUGAAAUAGGGGAUCGUGGUGUUCGAGUCGAGAUCGAGCGAUCGGUGUUGCUCGAUUUUCGAGAAAACCUCGAGGAUUGUUUGUUGCUUGCUGUCUAGAUAGAUACAGAUUCGUUUCUUCUUCUAUUUUUUACGAGACAUACCAUGGAUAAGAUAGUUCGUUAUUCUUCGUAUAACGACUCCGUUGUUCCGUGCAAUGAUGGAAUUUCGACUUAAUUAUCGUUAUAUUAAUUAAUUAUAAAAGCCUCGAUAAGCUGUUCUAUUGCUUUAACGAGUAGGGCGGGGGAUAAUUAAACACCGGCCCAACGACUAACACGAAAUUA